rnacentral:rRNA from 1 species
CCUUGACCUCAAAUCGGGUGAGACUACCCGCUGAACUUAAGCAUACAA